rnacentral:rRNA from 1 species
GCCAGACUCCUACGGGAGGCAGCAGUGGGGAAUAUUGCACAAUGGGGGAAACCCUGAUGCAGCGACGCCGCGUGAGUGAAGAAGUAUUUCGGUAUGUAAAGCUCUAUCAGCAGGGAAGAAAAUGACGGUACCUGACCAAGAAGCCCCGGCUAACUACGUGCCAGCAGCCGCGGUAAUACGUAGGGGGCAAGCGUUAUCCGGAUUUACUGGGUGUAAAGGGAGCGUAGACGGUUGUGCAAGUCAGAAGUGAAAGCCCGGGGCUCAACUCCGGGACUGCUUUUGAAACUGUGAAACUGGAGUGCAGGAGAGGUAGGCGGAAUUCCUGGUGUAGCGGUGAAAUGCGUAGAUAUCAGGAGGAACACCAGUGGCGAAGGCGGCUUACUGGACUGUAACUGACGUUGAGGCUCGAAAGCGUGGGGAGCAAACAGGAUUAGAUACCCGCGUAA